UAACCACAAACAAUCCUUUAUCCCAGGCAGUGUAUCUUUUCUCAGCAUCUUUGAAACCACAGGAAUAGAAACCAACAGGCUUUGUCAGACCCUCAGGACCCUGCUGCCAUAGGUGUGCUGACAGCCCUGAGGGGGCAAAUCCCCAUUCCACCUGAGAGGGAUCUGUGGGAUGGACAGGAUCCAGUGCUUGAUUCUGUGCUGCCUUACUCUGUGGCUCUGGGCUUCAUAUUAAGGGAUGCUGAGCUCUGUUCACAGAGCAGGGAGACAAAACAAUUCCUGCUCUAGCUGGGAACCCAAGGACAAAUAAUCCAAACCUCAGGCCCAAGAGCAUAAACAAUGUGGACUGAAGAGAGAAAAACAAGAAGGAUGGGACUUCAUCAGCUAAAGCUAUAAUUGGACAAUUAACUCCAAGAUGCAAAUGGAGCAGAACUGAUAAAAGUGACCGACCUCAUGACCUCGUCCAUUUUGUGGCCAUUUUGGUUCAUCUUGGGCGUAGCCUGGCUGGGCUCUUGUUCUGCCCAAGGUGGCUCCGUGGAGGCCUUUUAACAAAUGCCUGCUUUUUGUGUAACUGUGCCUGGCCUCUGCUCCAGGUCAGCCUUCUGAAGCCAUCAGUUGGUGGCGAGCACGAAGGGAGCCGAGGCACCUGGGCAAGGGCUGGAGCAGAGGCAGAGGAAGGUGCAGCUGCUGCCCCCCAGCCCGCGGCACUGGCGGGGCCCAGGUGCGGUGCAGAGGGUGUGGGAGGCCAAGAAGCUCGGGAGGAGCGAGAGAGGCGGCAGCGGCUGAAGGGGUGCUGUGUUUCUCAGAGAAUGGUCCCAAGUGGAUUCCAGCAAGAAUGUGAAGCCGUUUUGAGAAUCUUUGAGUGCAUCCCCUGAAGAUUCACCUUGAACACCAACAUUGGCCGAGAACCCUUGUGAACAGGACCUCACCACCACACCAGCACCUCUUUAACCUCUAACAGACUUAUGCCCUUGGGAAAAUGGUUAAGAUUACCCAGUGGUAUCAGGGUUCACAGGGCUAGGAAAACUUCUGGGGGAUUGGAGACUUGGUGGAUGGAUAAGAAAUUUAGUUAAAAUAGGCUUCUAUGUAUUAGGCAUUGUAUUAUGUAUUGCUAUGGUUAUUCCUUGUAUUUACACUGUGUGAAAAAAUUAAUAGGCAACUCACUUAAGAGAGUAUUUUUUCUUGAACACAUAGAGGGAUAUAUGGGGAAUAAAACAGAAUACAGUGGAACCGAUAAAGGGGCCUGAUAUCUUAGGCCUGAUCGAGCAGAAACUGUGGGAGGGACAGACACAGAUUAAGGCUUCACUGGGCAAGAAGUGACCAAGAAACAUGUUGUGAGACUUUGUGAUGUUACCAGGUGAUGUGAUGUCAUGAAGAAUGUGUAACCAAUGGGAAAUUGUUACCAAAAAUAGAGCCCUAUAUAAGUACCAUACAAGUCAAACCCUAUAUAAACCCCUGGUAUAUUCAAUAAAAUUGGCUCCUGAUCUAAA